rnacentral:rRNA from 1 species
UCCGCAUGGAAGGGCCAUCGCUCAACGGAUAAAAGCUACCCCGGGGAUAACAGGCUUAUCUCCCCCAAGAGUUCACAUCGACGGGGAGGUUUGGCACCUCGAUGUCGGCUCAUCGCAUCCUGGGGCUGUAGUCGGUCCCAAGGGUUGGGCUGUUCGCCCAUUAAAGCGGUACGCGAGCUGGGUUCAGAACGUCGUGAGACAGUUCGGUCCCUAUCCGUCGUGGGCGUAGGAAAUUUGAGAGGAGCUGUCCUUAGUACGAGAGGACCGGGAUGGACAUACCUCUGGUGUACCAGUUGUCGUGCCAACGGCAUAGCUGGGUAGCUAUGUGUGGACGGGAUAAGUGCUGAAAGCAUCUAAGCAUGAAGCCCCCCUCAAGAUGAGAUUUCCCAACUUCGGUUAUAAGAUCCCUCAAAGAUGAUGAGGUUAAUAGGUUCGAGGUGGAAGCAUGGUGACAUGUGGAGCUGACGAAUACUAAUCGAUCGAAGACUUAAUCAAAUU